UCUAUGGCCAUACCACCCUGAACGUGCCCGAUCUCCUCUGAUUUCAGAAGCUAAGCAGGGUCGGGCCUGGUUAGUACUUGGAUGGG
rnacentral:miRNA from 1 species